rnacentral:tRNA from 1 species
GCCGAGGUGGCGGAAUUGGUAGACGCGCCAGAUUCAGGUUCUGGUACUCGAAAGGGUGUGCUGGUUCGAUUCCAGUUCUCGGCACCA